UGCAUCUCGCCAGCGCAGUGGUCUAUCUCCUGGCGGCCACGUUUAGCCGAAUAAUUCUGUACAGCCCAUCCCUUGCUGCAACGGAAGAGAAGACCAAAGGCUACACUGUUUGUGACACGGAAGUGUGUAAAGAGAGAGCGAGACUGCUCAAAAAAAGCAUCAACACAAGCAUCGAACCAUGUGACGACUUCUUCGGCUUCGUUUGUGACGGGUGGAUUAGAGAGCAUCCUAUUCCAGAGACUGAUACGUCGUUCGGAACGUUCGAACAAGCCGAAGAAAACGUGCUGCGUGAUCU